rnacentral:rRNA from 1 species
AGAGUUUGAUCCUGGCUCAGAUUGAACGCUGGCGGCAGGCCUAACACAUGCAAGUCGAGCGGAAACGAGUUAUCUGAACCUUCGGGGGACGAUAACGGCGUCGAGCGGCGGACGGGGGAGUAAUGCCUGAAACUGCCCAGUCGUGGGGGACAACCAUUGGAAACGAUGGCUAAUACCGGAUACGCCCUACGGGGGAAAGAAGGGGACUCUUCGGAGCCUUUCGCGAUUGGAUGUGCCCAAGUGGGAUUAGCUAGUUGGUGAGGUAAAGGCUCACCAAGGCAACGAUCCCUAGCUGGUUUGAGAGGAUGAUCAGCCACACUGGAACUGAGACACGGUCCAGACUCCUACGGGAGGCAGCAGUGGGGAAUAUUGAACAAUGGGCGCAAGCCUGAUGCAGCCAUGCCGCGUGUAUGAAGAAGGCCUUCGGGUUGUAAAGUACUUUCAGCGAGGAGGAAAGGUUAGCCGUUAAUAACGGCUAGCUGUGACGUUACUCGCAGAAGAAGCACCGGCAAACUCCGUGCCAGCAGCCGCGGUAAUACGGAUGGUGCGAGCGUUAAUCGGAAUUACUGGGCGUAAAGCGCAUGCAGGUGGUUUGUUAAGUCAGAUGUGAAAGCCCGAGGCUCAACCUCGGAAGGUCAUUUGAAACUGGCAAACUAGAGUACUGUAGAGGGGGGUAGAAUUUCAGGUGUAGCGGUGAAAUGCGUAGAGAUCUGAAGGAAUACCAGUGGCGAAGGCGGCCUCCUGGACAGAUACUGACACUCAGAUGCGAAAGCGUGGGGAGCAAACAGGAUUAGAUCCCCUGGUAGUCCACGCCGUAAACGAUGUCUACUUGGAGGUUGUGGCCUUGAGCCGUGGCUUUCGGAGCUAACGCGUUAAGUAGACCGCCUGGGGAGUACGGUCGCAAGAUUAAAACUCAAAUGAAUUGACGGGGGCCCGCACAAGCGGUGGAGCAUGUGGUUUAAUUCGAAGCAACGCGAAGAACCUUACCUACUCUUGACAUCCUGCGAACUUUCUAGAGAUAGAUUGGUGCCUUCGGGAGCGCAGUGACAGGUGCUGCAUGGCUGUCGUCAGCUCGUGUUGUGAAAUGUUGGGUUAAGUCCCGUAACGAGCGCAACCCUUGUCCUUAUUUGCCAGCACGUAAUGGUGGGAACUCUAAGGAGACUGCCGGUGACAAACCGGAGGAAGGUGGGGACGACGUCAAGUCAUCAUGGCCCUUACGAGUAGGGCUACACACGUGCUACAAUGGGGCGGACAAAGGGUCGCAAUGCCGCGAGGUGGAGCCAAUCCCAGAAAACGUCUCGUAGUCCGGAUUGGAGUCUGCAACUCGACUCCAUGAAGUCGGAAUCGCUAGUAAUCGUGGAUCAGAAUGCCACGGUGAAUACGUUCCCGGGCCUUGUACACACCGCCCGUCACACGC